rnacentral:rRNA from 1 species
CAGUAGCGUAUAUUAAAGUUGUUGCGGUUAAAAAGCUCGUAGUUGGAUUUCUGUCGGUGAGAGGCGGUCAGCCCUAGUGGUUUGCACACGUCGCACCAUCGGCAUCUCUGUGGGGAACGUGUCUGCACUUCAGUGUGUGGCGUGUGAUCCAGGACAUUUACUUUGAGGAAAUUACAGUGUUCCAAGCAGGCUUGCGCUCUAUGAAUACGUUAGCAUGGAAUAAUAGCAUCGGACCUCGACCUAAAAGACUGUUGGUUUCUUGGGUCGAGGUAAAGAUGAAUAGGGAUUGUUGGGGGCGAUCAGUAUUCUGAAGCGAGAGGUGAAAUU